GUCCUACGGGGGGCAGCAGUGGGGAAUAUUGCGCAAUGGGGGAAACCCUGACGCAGCAACGCCGCGUGAGUGAAGAAGGCCUUCGGGUUGUAAAAUUCUGUUAUAAGGGAAGAAAGGUGAUAGGAGGAAAUGACUAUCAAUUGACGGUACCUUAUGAGAAAGCCACGGCUAACUACGUGCCAGCAGCCGCGGUAAUACGUAGGUGGCAAGCGUUAUCCGGAAUUAUUGGGCGUAAAGAGCGCGCAGGUGGUUAAUUAAGUCUGAUGUGAAAGCCCACGGCUUAACCGUGGAGGGUCAUUGGAAAC
rnacentral:rRNA from 1 species